AACCGCGAUCUCACUGCCGCAUGGCGGCGGCCUCCUCAGCCCUCUCCUCCGCCUCAACGACGUCUAAAGGCUAUUGCAUUCGCCGUUCAGGUGGUCGUCGGCGAUGAUCUCCCUUCUCCCUCUCGGCUCCUACAAAGAGUCAAGCAGCAGGCGCCUGAUCCAUGGCGAUAACCCUGUCUGCCGCAUGGAGCCGAUAUCAUUUCGCCAGGCGAAGAUUGCUUUGGAUGUUUGUUGCGUCGUCCAUCGCCACAAUAACUGGCAACAUUCUCGCUCCAAAAAAUUCUUCUUUUUUUUCAAGAAAAUAACAUAAUCUUCUUGUUUUCUUUCAACAGCCUCGAUCCGGCCAUUUCUUUUGGCUUGUGAUUGGGGUGGAAGAGCGGCAUUACUUCAGACAACGGGGGCUUAGUUAACAAAGUAACAGGCCACCUUUUGCACGGUGCCUACAUUAAAGGUUGUCACACGAUUGUGGGCGAAUCCAAUUUCUUUGCCGCCUGCAAAUUUUGAACUGCUACAUUUCUCGGUUGAUACGCUCUUGAAGUUUCUUAUUCUUUCAAUCGUUUUCAGUGCCUCCACGUCUUAUCUUUUUAUUAAAAAUCCUUCCUUUUUAUUAUCGUUUUACAUCUACUUGUUAAAUUCGUCAAUUCUGUGAACAAAUUCAAUUUUCCCCUCUUGAAUCUUCACAUUGCCACUGAUUAUGAUUUUUAUGUUCAAACAUGAUAAUUAACUCUGGGCCAUUGCGUUGUUUCUCUACCACCAAAUUAUGGGAUGUUUAAAUCAGUGCACAGGACUGGUGAUACUUGGGAUACUCCAUUCCCUGAAUGCGGCUCUUGUUAAUGACCCCAACAGGUAUUUACAAUCAAACCUCUGACUUCCCUAGGUAUGACAAGGAAGAAGAUUCAUCAACUUGGUUGUCAAUUGUGACAAUGAGUAUCCAAGAAGACAAAGAAACUUAGCAUCUUGUUUUACCAUUUAGGAGAAUGGAGAUGCCUAAAUAUUGAUUUGAAAUUUAAUGGAAAUUUUGCUAGACUAACAUGAAUAUGAUUUAGAGAACUCUUUUAUUAUCUGUUUUGCACCCGCAAAUUAACAGGUAAGGAGAAUUGGCUAGGCAUUGAGAGGCAUGGCCAACUAAUGAGAAUUUGUGAGAGCUUUUCACCUUCAAGCUAUUGCUCAAUUAAUGAGAAUUUGUGAGAGCUUUUCACCUUCAAGCUAUUGCUCAAUUAAUGAGAAUUUGUGAUAGGCAUGCUCAACAAGAAAGGCACAAUUUCCUACCACCAACCAAUUUACUGUUAAAUGGUUGAACAAUGUGCAAGAGUUCUAGGCUUCAGUUGUGCAAAUUGGGCUUCAGUUGUGCAAAUGUGUUUGUGUUAAACAAUGUAUAAUAGUUGGUUUUCUCUUAACAAAAUUUGAGAACUAUGUAAGGGAUGGCCAAACAUGUCUUAAGCUAUCCUCAAGAACAAGCUCUUAUAAAUUAUUUUACUGGUACCA